UUUUCUAGACUCUUCAAGUAGUUCUAAACUUAAUUUCCUUUUUCCAUUGGAGUAUUCUUAUAUAUCCCAUGACUUGCAAAAGAGGGAAACAACAUCAGGCACAUUGCAUGCAAUCCUUCCCCCCCUCCCUUUUUGCAGUGCACUGACUUCUAAGCACAGAAAAGUAAAGCAGUGAUAUCUCUGAUUCCCCUUCCCCAUACCCGAGCGUUCUUUCUUCCUUUUUCUUUUCUUCAUUUUAAUUUCUUUCUGUGGAAUCAUUAGUAAGAUAUAGUGCCUUGUUUGAAAUGCCUUUACAUGACAGAUACGAACAGGAAAGUAUGAUAAUACCUUUUUGGGAUUAAGAAUCCAUGACAAGGUGGGAUUGAUGACUUUUAUUUCCUUCUCUUUUUCAUUUGGCUUAUUGUUUUCAUGGCUCCUCCAAAGCAAAUGGUUUCUUUUUCAGGCUUUCAAGGUGAAGAAGAGUCUAAACAGUAAAACAGUCUCUCAUAAUCUCUUUUUUUCUACACACUUAAAUGUUUUUAGUAUCUUUCAAUGUUUGCAUAAUCCAAUUAUGUUGCAGCCAAAAGAUGGAGAAGAAAAGCAAAAGCAAAGUCGGCAGAUUAGAAAGAAAUUGAUUCUGUUGCCUUUGGUGUCACAGUCCAUGCUCCUGUCCACUUGUGAACAGAUAAUACCAACAAAAUGCUUACUUUUUAUUUUGCACCAAUUAUGUUAAAAUAUUCUCUUGGUGCA